rnacentral:lncRNA from 1 species
GAUGAGGACACCACGAGUACAUCUACACCAGCAGCACCUCAGGCACCUCCAGUUGCUCCUCCACCUCAGGCGCCUACAGUUGCUCAUCCAGUUGGGCCAAUCACUCGAGCCCGUGCGAGAGAAUUAAACUUCAUCAUGCUGUUAAGGAACGAAGGCCCAUCGGAAUAAGAAGAUGGCCCAACAGGGCAGCCCAGGUGGGGCGCCUAGGGUUGGGCGCCGUGACCCCUUCGGACUCCAGGGGCUGCGCCCCCUUUAUUUAGUCCGAGUCCUUUUUGUUUACGACUUGAGUUUUGUUUUACAUCUAGCUUUAGCUACUCUUGAACACGCGCAAAUACGCGCUGUCCUUGUG